rnacentral:rRNA from 1 species
UGGGGAAUAUUGCACAAUGGGGGAAACCCUGAUGCAGCGACGCCGCGUGAGCGAAGAAGGUUUUCGAAUCGUAAAGCUCUGUCCUAUGGGAAGAUAAUGACGGUACCAUAGGAGGAAUCCCCGGCUAACUACGUGCCAGCAGCCGCGGUAAUACGUAGGGGGCAAGCGUUGUCCGGAAUCACUGGGCGUAAAGGGUUCGCAGGCGGAAAUGCAAGUCAGUUGUGAAAGGCAGAGGCUCAACCUCUGUAAGCAAUUGAAACUGUAUUUCUUGAGAUGUGGAGAGGCAAGUGGAAUUCCUAGUGUAGCGGUGAAAUGCGUAGAUAUUAGGAAGAAUACCGGUGGCGAAGGCGACUUGCUGGACACAAACUGACGCUGAGGAACGAAAGCGUGGGUAGCAAACAGG